ensembl:lncRNA
CCUCCCCUCCUGAAUCCUCUCCCUCCUCACCUUCAUCCCCACCUGGAUCCUCCACCUCCUCACCUUACUCCCACCUGGAUCUUCAGCCUCCUCACCUUACUCCCACCUGGAUCCUCCCCCUCCUCACCUUCCUCCCCACCUGGAUCCUCCCCCUCCUCACCUUACUCCCACCUGGAUCCUCCACCUCCUCACCUUCCUCCCACCGGGAUCCUCCCCUCCUGGAUCCUCCACCUCUUCACCUUCCUCCCACCGGGAUCCUCCGCCUCCUCACCUUCCUCCCAUCCUGGAUCCUCCACCUCCUCACCUUCCUCCCACCUGGAUCUUCCCCCUCCUCACCUUCUUCCCACCUCGUCCUCCACCUCCUCACCUUCCUCCCCCUCCUGAAUCCUCUCCCUCCUCACCUUCCUCCCACCUGGAUCUUCAGCCUCCUCACCUUCAUCCCCACCUGGAUCCUCCACCUCUUCACCUUCCUCCCCCUCCUCACCUUCCUCCCCCUCCUGAAUCCUCUCCCUCCUCACCUUCCUCCCCCUCCUCACCUUCCUCCCACCGGGAUCCUCCCCUCCUCACCUUCCUCCACUCCUGGAUCCUCCACGUCCUCACCUUCCUCCCACCUGGACCCUCACCUUCUCAACAUCCUCCCCUCCUCACCUUCCUCCCCCUCCUGAAUCCUCUCCCUCCUCACCUUCCUCCCACCUGGAUCCUCCCCCUCCUCACCUUCCUCCCAUCUGGAUCCUCCCCCUCUUCACCUUCCUCCCAUCUGGAUCCUCCCCCUCCUCACCUUCCUCCCACCUGGAUCCUCCACCUCCUCACCUUCCUCCCACCUGGAUCCUCCCCUCCUCACCUUCCUCCCCUCCUGAAUCCUCUCCCUCCUCACCUUCCUCCCACCUCGACCCUCCCCCUCCUCAUCUUCCUCCCACCUGGACCCUCACCCUCCUCACCUUCCUCCCACAUGGAUCCUCCCCCUCUCAUCUUUGUCCCACCUGGAUCCUCCCCUCUUCACCUUCUUUCCAUCCUGGAUCCUCCCCCUCCUCACCUUCCUCCCACCUGGAUCCUCUGCCUCCUCGCCUUUCUCCUACCUGGAUCCUCCCCCCCUCACCUUCCUCCCCACCUGGAUCCUGUCUCCCUACCUUCAUCCCCACCUGGAUCCUCCACCUCCUCACCUUCUCCCCACUUGCCCCUCAUCUGCAGCUCACUUACAACUCCAUUCACUACUUUGCCUGCAUUUCAAGCAGCUGUGCCCAGAAGGGGGCGUUAAGGGGCAGGCUGGGCUCAUUUCCACUAGAGAUAUGCGUGAACCAGGGAGGGGAAGGAAUGAGUCAGCAUUCAAGGGCUGAAGGGGGGUUGUCGUGGGGGUAUUGCGGUCACAGCACCACCUGCACUGCAUCGGGGGCAGCAGUCACAGGUGAAUAGUUUCACUCUCUGCAGACAGAACUGAGUCCCUGGAUGUCUCUUCUGUUUAAUAACACCACCAGUAAGUCUAGGUCUGUAGAUGUUGGGAUCCAGUCCCUGACUCUAGAUGAGGUCAUCAUGGGAAAAGCCCUGAGCCUGGCAGUCACCCCUUCUCAGCCCAUUUCCUGUGUGAAAUUGGCUGUGUCCUGUGAACCCCACCUCCCAAUUCCAGGAAUAUGAGGGAAAUAUAUUCACCGUCUCUCCUGCUACUUCCAGUCCCUGGUUGUCAGCACCCCUGUCAAGGGGAGACUCAAAAGUCCUCAUCACUCAUUAGGUGUCCCAGCCGACCUCUGUCAGGUUGCCCCUCCGGCCACCUUUAUGUCCUUCUUGUCAUGGUUUUUCAUGCCAAUUCCCCCUUUCUUCUGCCCUGGGAUUCAUUUUCUUCCUUUUUUUUUCAGAAAAAAAAAAAAAAG